rnacentral:rRNA from 1 species
GAUUAACGCGAAGAACCUUACCUACCCUUGACAUGGUCGGAAUCCUGCUGAGAGGUGGGAGUGCUCGAAAGAGAACCGGCGCACAGGUGCUGCAUGGCUGUCGUCAGCUCGUGUCGUGAGAUGUUGGGUUAAGUCCCGCAACGAGCGCAACCCUUGUCCUUAGUUGCUACGCAAGAGCACUCUAAGGAGACUGCCGGUGACAAACCGGAGGAAGGUGGGGAUGACGUCAAGUCCUCAUGGCCCUUAUGGGUAGGGCUUCACACGUCAUACAAUGGUCGGAACAGAGGGUUGCCAACCCGCGAGGGGGAGCUAAUCCCAGAAAACCGAUCGUAGUCCGGAUUGCACUCUGCAACUCGAGUGCAUGAAGCUGGAAUCGCUAGUAAUCGCGGAUCAGCAUGCCGCGGUGAAUACGUUUCCCGGGCUUGUACACACCGAAUC